GAGUUUGAUCGUGGCUCAGAUUGAACGCUGGCGGCAUGCCUUACACAUGCAAGUCGAACGGCAGCACGGGAGCUUGCUCCUGGUGGCGAGUGGCGAACCGGGUGAGUAAUGCAUCGGAACGUAUCCUGGAGUGGGGGAUAACGUAGCGAAAGUUACGCUAAUACCGCAUAUUCUGUGAGCAGGAAAGCGGGGGACCUUCGGGCCUCGCGCUCUUGGAGCGGCCGAUGUCGGAUUAGCUAAGUUGGUGAGGUAAAGGCUCACCAAGGCGACGAUCCGUAGCAGGUCUGAGAGGAUGAUCUGCCACACUGGAACUGAGACACGGU
rnacentral:rRNA from 1 species